GGCACCAGAUUGGGGAGGGGUCUGUGCCCAGUCCUCAUUCUGGGGAGGCAGCCGUUUGAGGAUGCGCCAGACAGUAGCAAACUCGGCUUGUGCCAGGGGAGGAGCUGGGCCCAGGAGGCAGAGCCCUGGGCAGAGCCCCCUGGUCGGCUGAGGACGAGGGAUCCUGGACUCCGGACUGUCUUAAAGCCCCAGUGGUGUCCAGUGCCCGGCUGGGGUGGAGAGUGCUCCUGACCACGCCUGCAGGAGACCACAGAUGGGCAUCUCAACCCAGGUCCACACCCCUGUUCCUGAAUGCAGGAGGCUCUUGUGGAUCAGAACCAACUCAGGGGGCUGAGGCAGGAGGAUGGCCCUUGGGGUGUAGCUGAGGGGCAGGGCACCUGGGUCCAUCCCCCAGGAGGCCAGGCUUGGCGUCCACCCCUCUGGGUGGAGCCUGAGGGCCGAGGGCGGAGCGCAUGAGCUCCGGGGACUGGGGACUGGCUCACCCCUGCUGGGACCCCCUUUCUCUUCCUUAUUAACUGGUCAAGGCACCCCCCCCCCAGAGGGAAGCCCCCGCACCAGCUUGGGCUGGGUCCUCUGGUCCUCUCCUGGACACGCACCCUCUGGACCCGCUCCUCUGACCACAGGGCAGUUUGGGCAGUGCUUCUCCCGGCGGGAACAUUGUCCCUGUCGCAGCUGAUGGACACGGAGGCCGUCUUCUGCUCUCACAGACAGUGUGGCCCCUGAAACAUACGCGGCCCCUUGGUCAGUGAGUCGAGUGCUGCUCAGAGGCGUUUGUCCAGGGGACGAGCUUCCACUGGUGUCGCCAACCGGUCACCACAGUAACGCGCUCCUGCAGGGCUGGCGGGUCCUAGGGGUCCCCACCGCGGACAUCCUCCCCUGGCUGCGGCUGGCCAUCUCCUCUUCCGUGUGGUCCCUCCAGUGCCCCCUCGUCCAGCCAGCCUGCCUGUGCACCGUCUGCCCCACCGCCCACUCCCCUGGUCUGUCAUUGGCCACCUCGCCAGCCGUGGCCGAGCUGACCAGCCCAGCGACUCACCCUCCAGCGCCCAGCCAGCCUCUAACUCUAUGUCCAGCAGCUGUGCCCGCCUGAGUCCUCCCAGCCGCCAGCCCAGGAGUCUGACCCACGCGUCACCUCAGCUAGUUGACCCGUCCGUCCACUCACAGGCACACACAGUCCUGUCCUUCAGCCUGUCCCUUGAUGACCCACCCAUCUCCCGGCCUCUGCGCCCUCGUCCCCCAGCCUCGCGCCGGCUCCUGCCUGGCUGAUCUGCUGCCCGCUGUCCUGAGCACCCCUCGGUGUCUUCAAAGGACCCGUCCACCCGUGCGUCCUGCGCUGGGCAGCCGGCCCCGUGGCUGCUCUCCCCCUGGCUGUGGCUCCUGUGCCCUGGCUGGGAGGCCGCAGUCCCCACCUCACCCUGGAGGUCCAGCGGGGCUGCCCCGUCACCUCUGGGCCCCGGGCCUCCCCCUGAGCUCCGCCUCUGUCCCCCGCUGGGGGCCCCUGCGGUCGGACCCCCUUCUCAGGCUCACCUUCCCUUUCAAGCCCUUUCUCUCCCUGGGGCAGCGUCCACAGCGAGGGCCACCUGGGGGCUGGGGCAGCACACAGUGUUCGUGUGCCCCGUGGCGGCGGGGGCUGGGCCUCUGGGUGUCCCUGGGGCCACAGUCGCAGGACAGAGGCCUCCUCCUCCUCCUCUGCCAUCAGGCCCACUGUCAGAGUCCCCGCUGCCCACAGCUGGGCUGAUGGUGGUGGCCACAGAGGGUCAGAGGUGGGGCCCACCGGGACGCCCUGCGUGGGGCAGCUCUGGGCCCUCGGUCGUUCCCUCUGCCCUUAACAGUGGCCCUGGGGGACCCUGCGCAGCGUCUGCACCCGGCUCUGCUCUUGGUCCUCUGCAGCUCUGGACGCUCACCUGUCAGGUGCCAGUUUCCCGUCCUGGCAGACCGGGGAUGGCGACUGCCCCUCGUCACAGGGACACGGGAAGGAUCAGCGGAGGGGUUGAGGUCCGGCCGUUGGCUCAGAGCCAGGCGUGGUGGCCAGGGCCCGCGCACGGAGCCCGCCGCCAGCCCCUUUCCUCACCCUGCGGGGCGGCUGGUGCCAGGAGGGCAGCCCUGGCCCAGGGGUGGGUAGUGGGGGUGGCCAGCCUGGUGACGAGUGGGUGGUGGACAGUCUGGAAGUCACUUGGUGGCCUGGCGGGUGGUCUGGGGCUGCCCGGCGGGGCCCCCCCCAUCAGAGCUGAGGCUGGAGUUGAGACCCCUGGGCCGGUGGCUGAGAGGAGUCGGCGGGCACAGGUGCUGGACGUGCAGUCAGGUGCUGGACGUGCAGUCGGGUGCUGGCUGGGCGCUGGACGGUGGCACCCGGGCCCCAGUGUGCACUAGGCCCCUUGGGGAGUCGUCAUGGUGCUGAGGACGUGACAAAGGGGCUUUUCUGGUGUCCGCCUCCAGACGGCCCGCGACACGGUGGCCUCAGGCUGUCCUGGCUCACACACCCCAGGGCCCAGCGUGACCCGCCCAGGUCUCGGGCAGCCCUCUCCGGCAGGGCCCGGCCCAGGUGCACCUGGCACCUCCGCUGCCCACACCCAGCUCGGUCCCUUCCGCAGAGCAGCUGCCCUCGGAGCUGUCACCAGGUUGACUUCUUAGCGUCCAGUGGCUUCUCGAGAGAACCGCCGCGUCCACGGGCCCUUCCUGCCCUCGGGGCCUGGACCACCCUGUCCGGGCCACUUUGCCCUCGAGCAGCACAGGGACCCUGCGUAGUGGGCUGAAUGGGGGCCCCCAGAAUCUCUGUCCCCAUCCAGCCCCCGGAACCUGACAACGUGACUCUAGGGGAGAGCAGGCGGACUGUGGGGGCUCCUCCCGGGGUGCUGGCCGCCCUGGGAAGGCUUCCUGGGUCUCUGCCCCCCACGGCCCCGGCUCCUCGCUGCCGGCUCCCCGCCCCGUGGAGAUGGCCAGCACUGCCAGGGACGCCCCUCCUUCCCAGGCCCCUCCGCAGACCUCGGGCGUGAGCCACCCCUGCCCCCGGGCUGCCCCUCGGGAUGGAGCCUCAUUUCGUUGUCAGGGCCCUGGUGACCGGCGCCUGGCGACUCCCCUGGGCCUGCGGGUGGACUCGCGGGGCCUGAGCAACAGGACAGACCUGCUCAGAGGCCUGAGGCGGGGGACUGUGGCCUCUGCAGGUCAGAGGUGGGUGGCCUGGCCCCAGCGUGGCCUCAGAGACCCCAGGGCUUCCCUGGAAAUGCCCGCUCCCCAGCCCGUCCCCUCACCAGGGCCCUCAUGGCCAGGUGGCCGAUGCCCAGGGACGGCAGAGCCGAUGGGAGCAGGGGGGCCAGGGGCAGGGGGCAGCAGACCCAGGCUUGGCCCUGAGCUCCCUGUGCCUGGCAGCCCCUCUCCGGGGGGAAGACGGGGGCACAGACGGUCCCCACAGAGGAACCAAGAGGAGCUCGAGGCUCCCGUGAGGCAGAGGGGACCCCAGGAGCCGGGGGCGAGAUCUGCCCCAGUCAGACGCGCUCCACGUCAGGCCCAGGCCCCGUGUGGUUCGUGCUCUUAGCCUCACCUGAAGCAGACGGGGGCAGGCUGGGGCCCAGAGACACACAGUGACCUGCCCGGGGCCACACAGCAGAAAAGAAACGGGAACCCACAGGCUGGGCUCCCAAGCCAGGGCUCCUGAAGACCACGCUGUCCAGGCUCAGCAUGGCCAACGGGGUCCCCCCAGGGGGACGUGGAUCCCCGGGGGCUGGAAGAGGCCCCCUGCCCCAGAGAUGGACGCUGAGCCGGCUUCCCAGCCCAGGCGCCCACUUUCCACCCACUGGGCAGGAGCAAGGCCACUGUGCCCAGAGCUGGCCUCCCUCAGGGCCAGCUCCCUCGCCCCCUCCCUGCGUGCAGAGCCCUGGGGGAGGCAGGGGACACCCGAGAGGGGAGCUCCUGGGGGACAUUUUAUUGACUCUUCUCUGGAGGUUCUCGCUGGGCCGGCGGCGGGCACCCCUGCUGGGCAUCUGGCGGUGAGGAGUGCGGCGGCGGGCACCUUCCCGGGCCUCUGGCGUUAGGCGUGCGUCUGCUUGGCCUCGGGGCUCUGCGGGGCCCCCGGGCUGUCCUCGGCGCUCCCCUCCUGCCUCUCGGGCUCCAUCAGCAGCAGCUGGCCCUGCACGGGGAGCUGCUCCUCCUCGUCCUCCUCCUCCUCCUCGUCCUCCUCCUCCUCGUCCUCCUCCUCCUCCUCCCCCUCCCCCUCUGACGACAGGGAGAAGUUAUCCUGGCUCACGCAGGCCACCAGCUUCUUCAUGGACGACUCGUGGCCCCGGCUGUGGCCCGUGCCCUGGCCGGUGCCGUGGCCCGUGCUGAGCUUGGCGCAUCGGGAACCCAUGGUCCACUCUGCCCGUCUCUCUGGACUAGGAGGGAGGCGGCCGGGGGGUGGAGGGGCAGUGAGGCGGACAGAGUGCUGACAUCACAAAGGGGCCCUGGAGCCCGCCCCACCCAGCACCCAAGGCAGAGCGGGCAGCUGGGCCGGGGGAGGUCUGUCCAGUGCUACCCGCCCCGUCUGGCCUCCUGGGCCUGGACACUUGCCCUCUCAGCUGAGCGCCGGGGGUGCCGAGAGCCGGGGAUAGUGUGCAGACAGGGUGGGCUAGUGUCCCUGUCAGAAGGCGGCAGAGUUCGGACACGUGGAGUGACGGGCAGAUGGAGUCCCACCGGAGCCCCAGCCCGGGCCCAGCCCUGCUGCGGUCCGCCUCGUCCUUGCUGGAGCACACCCGACCUGCCUCCCCCCUCGGGCUCUUGCAGCCCUCUGCUGCUCACGUCACCCGUCCACCCCGGGGCUGGACUGAGCUCCACAGUGGCCCUUUAGUCGGGUGGACUUCCUGGAGGAAGGGCCGUGACCCGCCAAGGAGACCCGGCGGCCGGGUUCGCACCAGUCUUUAUUGGGCAGGUGACUGCUCGUGGCUCCUGGGCAGCUCGGGGCUCGGCGUGCGCACAGGAGGGGUGUCAGGGCCUCGCGCUCCUUGGGCAGGUGACUCGGCUUCCCCCGGGCUUCGGGCGGGGUCACUACCGCCUCCUGCACCUCCUCUUCCUCCUGACUCUUCUGCAGACUUUGGGAAAGAGAAGCCGUUCCUGGACCCCAUGGGCUCCUCCCCCCGCCUCCCGCCCCGUCCUCCGCCCGGGGGUGCGGCCUGGGCCGCGCGUGGGCACGCACCUCGGUAGCAGCGGCAGCACCGCCGCCUGUACCUGCACCUGCAGCGCCUGCGGUGCCUCUGGCAGGAAUGGCGGCACCUGUGGAUCCGCUGCAGCCUCCGCCGGGAGCAGGGCCUGCGCCUGUACUGGCAGCUCCUCUGUGUCCUCCCGAAGGCCUCGGCGGGCUCCUGGGUCAGCGCCUGCCCCUGCUCCUGCUCCCGCUCCGGGUCCUCACAUCCCGCGUCCUGCCUGGGCCCCUGCUGCAGACGGUCACCGGGGUUCCUCACGCGGCAUCGGACCAUGGCGUCUGCGGCUCGGGGGCAGACCCGGGGCACCUGGGCUGAGGCUGCGGCUGGCCGUGGCGGGAGGAGGGCUGGGGCCCGCCUGCUCCUGGUGUUGCUGUUGGUCUGCUCGGUGGGGCUCUCGGGGCCCGUAUAUAAAGGGGGCCCCACUAUGACCUGGCGGCCCUGCCCAGCCCCCUCUGUGAGGGCGACUCAGGGCAGGGCCCACCGCCCGGCACACCUGGUGGGAUCGGGCCAGGUGGCCUCUUGCCUGGCCUGUAACGUGUGUCCCCUGGAGCCAGAGGACCCUCGGAUCCCGAGAGCCACGGCUUUUCCUGUCCCGGUCAAGCCUCAACCGGUCAGGGUUCGUCCAGAGGUGCCACUCCUCAGUGUCCUGCUGUGAUCUCAGGCUUGAGGUGGCCACUGUUUGCAUGACAUGACUGCAUAAUGGCCGCAUGCCCGGAGGUGACCGCUCCUCCCCAGCCUCCCUCCCUUGGUUUCCAGGAGACCCGCGUCCACCGUUUCUUUUUCCCUCUCCCACUUGCACAUAGUGACCCUUGACCUGGUGGCCUCACGUUCCCGCCAUUGACCGGCAGGGGACAUUCUUUAUGGCUGAAUAAAACUCCACUGUGUACACAGA